UGCCUUUACUAGGCUCUGUGUUAGUUGCAUAUAAUGAUUAAAAUUCAAUGUGUUUUUCUGAAUUCUUCAUUGCUACAUGUCUGCUUCAGGUUUUGCUUAAAAAAUUCUUUCUAUGUUUGGCAAAAAUAGCACAGUGACCAGAGAGUGGGUGGCAGAAGUGCUGGGUUGGUUGCCAGUGAACCUUGGUAAGAGCUGAGGAACAGUCUGAGUUGUCUUGAUUUGGUGCCUACGAAUAUUUUCAGCAGGAAAAAAAAAUAAAAUAGUUCCCUUAUAAUAGAAGAAUUCUGGAGCUGGAUGUGCUGUGAGGAACAGGACAUAAGUACCUGGAAAACAAGACUUGCUGGGCUUGUCUGGAAGUGUGUUGAUGUAUCUGCCUGCUUCCCUGCUGCUGCAGCUCUUUGCUUCACAUCGAUUGAUCAGGAACCCAUGUGUUGCUGCUGUCCCAGCAGCCUUCCCGGGCCUGGCUUAGUGAGAGAGCAAAUGCGGUUUCUGAGAGCUCAGGAGAAAAAAUAAACCCACAAAGGCAGGAGGCAGCUCGUUGUUGGGCCUGGUCUCCUGCGGGAGGUUUUGCCAGCAGGGAUCCUCUCCCUGCAGGUGGCUCAGCUCCUGUGCGGAGCAGCUCACCUGGAGGGAGCUGCGUCCCUCUGGGCACGGGAUGCAGGAACCUGCUGCCACCCUGGGGCUGGCCCCGGGUGCCCUGAGCUGUGACAGUGGAGCAGGCACCAGGCCCCUGGGAUCUUCCAUCCCUGGGGCCACCUCUAGCCCGACUACCCAUGAGGCGUGAUGGCAACAGGAGAUGGUACCAUAGCCCCCCUGUGACAACAGCCCCUGCCCAGAAAGCCCUGCCCUCGGGGGUCACCUCGACACCCGUGUCCACCCUGCUCGGUUCACUGUCUGCAGUGAGGAGGAGGAAGGCUGCAGGCUGUCCCUCCUUCCCACGCAGUCAGGUUCUCCCAGCCAGAAAGGCUCCUGCCCCUCAAGUGCUUUUUGUGCCUUUUGGUCAGGGAGCAGGGAUGGCCUCACUCAGCCUGGUCCAGCUGCUGGACCUUGCCCUGAGGACACCUGCUUUUGGGGCUGUCCAGUAUCGGGCCCUCUAGCAGCUGCUGCUGGUCCCGCUCCAGCUUUUCUGAAUAUUCCCUCACUUUGAUUGGAAAAUUCCUAGCCCUCCCUGCUGAAAUAGCCUGACAGAUCAGAGUGGCCCAUUCAAUGUACACAAAAGUGCCCUAGUUAGGUCUAAAACUUGAAAUAGCAGAAAUAAAUAGUUACAUCUUGAAGAUGUGAAUUGAAACUAAGCCAAUUAGGCAAGAAUAAAAACGGCACAAAGGAGGGAGGCAUUUGAUUUGGUUGACUUUCUGUGUCUAGUAUGCACAUGGACCAGAUCAAAGAUAAAAGACUAAUUUCUUCCCCGACAGGCUCAUCUGGACAGGUGGUGCUGUACUGUCUGAAAGACUGUGCCAGUGAAACAGCUGGUCAUUAUUUGGCAGAUCUUUCUUCUUCACAGUGACAUCCUCAGAGUGAUCUGAUGAGGCAAAGCUAAAUUGUGUCUGUCACCUGUUAAAAGCAUGUCCUGGGAAGGAAAACUGCAGCAGGUAUCUCUAUGGAUUCCUGGAAGCUGCCUGCAUUAUCGACAGUAUCAGACUCGUAACUGCCCCAUACAUGGUCUUUCCCAAAACCCAAGAAGUUUACUGCACAGCCAGAUUUAUCAGGAAAACACAGAUAAAUUGACUUGCAGCCUGAGUGCACCCCAGGGGGGGUUGUUCUGAGAGGCCUGAAAGAAUUCGGGCAAGGUGUGGCUGUCUCACUACUAAAAAAUACCUUUGUUUUACUUCUAGGAGAGAAAUCUCAACAUAGAAUCACAAGUAGGUGAUAAGGGCAGCAAGAGCUGUGGCUCUUUUUUUGAGGACAGCCCAACAAUGCUCUCAGGAAUUACAGAUGCAGGAGCCCCUGGCAAAUGGUUUAAAUGACAAAGAGGAUACAUCAAGAAAUCUUCAACUGUUCUUUUCUUUCUUAGAAGGACUAACAGCUCUCCAAGUAUUUCAAGUCCUUUUGCUCAGAGCGAUAAGGCCCGCAGGGAGAACCUAUUGAGGCUGCUGGGUUCUUCAGUGUCCUAAACCGGGAGCGUAAACACUGCAGAAAUCUGCACUUCCAGUGUUCCCUUUUUCAGGGACAGAGAGAAAAGGACAUGUCUGGUCAUCAGUGCAUGAGGUGAACAGCUGGACCCUCUGGUUCCAGUCACCAACAGCCAGUUGUGUUUUCUCCUCACUUGUGGAAACUAAAAAGUGAAAUCGAGCUGGGUUUUUGUUGUUGUUGUUGGUCUUAUUUUGGUUUAUUGCCUUUUUUGUUCGUUUGUGGUUUUUUUAAUGCACAUCAGCUAUGGCUCACUCUGAUGAUCUUUAGUUGGCAAAGUUUUCACUGAAGUCCAUAAAAAGUCAAAUAAUACAAGGAAGUCUCCAAAUA